AAACAUGCAUCCCCUUCUUUUAUUUCUUCUACUUUAUUCUUCUUUCUUCUUUAUUUGUUCUUUCUUCUUCCUUUCUCCUUCUUUUCUCAUUCUUUUCCUUCUCUCUGAAUUUUGAGAGAUUACAGGAGACUGAGUGAGGAAGUAUGAGACAGUGAGAUAGAAGAAAUUGAAGAGAGGCAUGAACCAAAGAUGAAAUUGUGAGGUCAGUGAAGGAACAGAGACCCGGUUCCCAUUUCUUCUUUAUCCCCUUCUUUCUCCCCCUUCUUUUCUGUUCUCCUUCCUUCUUCCUUCUCUUUUCUGUGAUUAAGAGACUUAACAUCAGAAAGAGUGAGAGGAUGAGAUGGGAAAAGAGAUUGAGUGGGCUGAGAGGGAGAGUCAAGCUAGAAGGCUAAGGGUGAGGCAGAAAUUGAAAAAAAACAAGAGUUAGACCAAGCAAAACCCGUAGAGCCGUGAGGUCCAAUCCACGGUGAAUUUGCACCCACUGCCACCGGAAACCCGAUUUUCGAUGGGUCGGUGAACAGGCCGGCCGUGAGGGAUCCGAAGCAGGCCCGAUCAAGACCCAUCAAUGCCCGAACCCAGUGUUACCCGCAACUCGAUUCACGACCCACGAACAGCCAAGACACGAUCCAGCAAAUCGGCAAGUCAGAGGCUGAGUUUUCGGCGGUCAUCGCCGGCGUCGACCCAGGGGCAUGUCCGGCGGUCCUGGCCGUGACCCAUAGCGCGAACCAAAACAGACCCGAUCCUCCACGAGCGGCGGCUGGGCUGAAAUCCGGCGGAACUCAAUAAGCCACGAACUAUAGAGAACCGUGAUGUAAAAUCCGAUUCUCUCGAUAGUGUGAUUUCCGGCCAAAUAUUGCAUGUUGGACCAAACCCCCAUCUGACUUUUCCUCUGAGUAUACGCGUGAACAGCUCAAGGAUGAUGGAAUACGAGACUGCGGAUAUGACUGUUAAUAGACAAAGACCAGAGCUCAAGAGGUUUUAUAGCUAAGGACGCAUAGUUUAUAUUUUGUUUGUAGUCUUCUGUGUUUAUAGCAUUUUAUGUUGACAAGAUUGCUAAUGAUUUAUAUGUAUUCUUUUGUGUCAUUAUGGACACCUGUUUCCUUGUAUUUGUUAUAAGUAUUUUCUAAUGAAUAUCUAGAGGUAUUUAAUUUAAAAGCUCUAAUGUGUUAUUUAAUCCAAGCUUGUUGGAUAAAAAUAUAUUCCGCUGCGAGAGUUUAUCUCUGAUGUAGUAACGUCACGUGGAAACUAGAGGUUUCUGCUUACGAAUUUGCUGGUUCAAAUUUGGGGCGUUACAGAAUGGUAUCAGAGCAGUUUGCUCUGAGGACCGUUAGGCUUGACCCUAGAUGUCUAAGAAUAACACAAGAGCUAUAGGAAAAAUGAACUUUUUAUAAACUCCUUAAAAGUUUUUGUAUGAAAUUAAGUGGCAUAAGAGAAUAGUAAUCGUCACUUACAGUUAGGAUUCUUACGCCUAUGUGAAUGUAUGCAUUGUAUGAUUCAUAUGUUUAUGUGUUUUCAUUGCUAUACAACUUAGGAAACAUAUCGAUAUGAUCUAUUAAAAAUUGCAUGCCAAAUAAGUAAUAUACUAUGAAUAUGCAUAGGAAUAUUAUUAACCACUGCGGGCUUGUGUAGCAUGAUGAUUUAUGCUUCUAUAGAUAUUGAAUGAUGUAUGCUUGUAUAUGCUACCGAUCCUUGAUAAAUUAUAACCGUAGGUAUAAUAUAGUUUUAUUGCAUGUUAGAUAACACAUUGACAUGAUUUAUACGCUAAGUCAGAAUUAUAUUACAAAAUGGUUAAUAUGAAAUCAGUCUUGAUUAUGUAAUUCAUUGAUUC